UCCUACGGGAGGCAGCAGUGGGGGAUUUUGCACAAUGGGGGGAACCCUGAUGCAGCGACGCCGCGUGAGUGAAGAAGUAUUUCGAUACGUAAAGCUCUAUCAGCAGGGAAGAAAAUGACGGUACCUGACUAAGAAGCCCCGGCUAACUACGUGCCAGCAGCCGCGGUAAUACGUAGGGGGCAAGCGUUAUCCGGAUUUACUGGGUGUAAAGAGAGCGUAGGCGGCAAGGCAAGUCAGAAGUGAAACCCGUCGGCUUAACCGACGACCUGCUUUUGAAACUGUCGAGCUAGAGUACUGGAGGGGUAAGCGGAACUCCUGGUGUAGCGGUGAAAUGCGUAGAUAUCAGGAAGAACACCGGUGGCGAAGGCGGCUUACUGGACAGUUACUGACGCUCAGGCUCGAAAGCGUGGGGAGCAAACAGGAUUAGAUACCCUGGUAGUCC
rnacentral:rRNA from 1 species